rnacentral:rRNA from 1 species
AAGAUGGCGACCGGCGCACGGGUGAGUAACACGUAUCCAACCUGCCGAUAACUCCGGGAUAGCCUUUCGAAAGAAAGAUUAAUACCGGAUGGCAUACGAAUAUCGCAUGAUAUUUUUAUUAAAGAAUUUCGGUUAUCGAUGGGGAUGCGUUCCAUUAGUUUGUUGGCGGGGUAACGGCCCACCAAGACUACGAUGGAUAGGGGUUCUGAGGGGAAGGUCCCCCACAUUGGAACUGAGACACGGUCCAA